CUACGGGGUGCUGCAGUGAGGAAUUUUGCGCAAUGGGGGGAACCCUGACGCAGCAACGCCGCGUGAGUGAUGAAGGCUUUCGGGUCGUAAAGCUCUGUCAAGUGGGAAGAACCUAUGCAGUGUUAAUAUCACUGUAUACUGACGGUACCACUGAAGGAAGCACCGGCUAGCUCCGUGCCAGCAGCCGCGGUAAUACGGGGGGUGCAAGCGUUAUUCGGAAUCAUUGGGCGUAAAGGGCACGUAGGCGGCUUGGUAAGUCAGAUGUGAAAGCCCGGGGCUUAACCCCGGAAGUGCAUUUGAUACUGUCAGGCUUGAGUAUGGGAGAGGGAAGUGGAAUUCCUGGUGUAGAGGUGAAAUUCGUAGAUAUCAGGAGGAACACCGGUGGCGAAGGCGACUUCCUGGACCAAUACUGACGCUGAGGUGCGAAGGCGUGGGUAGCAAACAGGAUUAGAUACCCUAGUAGUC
rnacentral:rRNA from 1 species